rnacentral:lncRNA from 1 species
CACUUCAUUAAAUAAUAAAUAAAAAAACAAACACAAUGUGAUGAACUUCGCAAAAGGAUUAUAUUCAACUAAUAAAGAAAAUCAUUUCAAGAUGCGUACUAAAUGUGAAUUUUACAAAAUUGAACUUUAUAAAAUCGAAUGUAUUCAUAUAGUAUCAUGUAUGAUACAUAUCCUAGUUGUCCAAAAGUCUUCCUCAUUAACUUCAAAUGGUCAAAUUGACUUUUGGCCACCAUUUUCAAUUACAACAACAACAAACUCAGUUUGAUCCCAUAAUGGAAUUUGGGGAGGGUAAUGUGUACGCAGACCUUACCUCAUUGCAUCACAAGAAUUUUUCUACACAUCAAAAAUGAAAUUAAAUAUUAAAUAAUAGACACCAAUAGAGAGUGCAAACUCAAGUGAGAAUAUUUUGCGCGUAUUUUUCAUACAGAAUGAACAGUAAUGCAAACAUGAUCAAAACAGAUAUUCAAUGCUAUAAAGGCCUAUAAAAUUGCAAAUGCACAAUAUUUGCAUAACUGCAAGAUACACCCCAUGAGCGUUUGCCAAAAUAUUGCAUUGGUGGUAACAUGAGAUCAUAAAAGUGCAAUAAGACAAAAUAUAUAAAAUCAUAUUAGAAGCAAGGCUAUGUUUCUAUUUUUUAUGUUGACUCAAAAACAGAACCCUUUGAUCACAAAGUGAACAAGUUUAAAAAAAGAUACAUUAGGGUGGUCACCAAAGAAAAAAGUUGCAAUGACUUGCAUUCUUUAGGCAAUUCUAGUCACCCUACUGAGAGAACAUAAAAGCAAGUUAAGGGAGAAGAGAAAACAUCAUUUCAUAUUGAUUUGUCUAUGCUUAGGACAUUACUGCUCCUCUUCCCGAUAAAAUACCACCAUCUCUAGCUCUAUGUCCUAGCAGCAACACCAAUUAAGUGGAAACCCUUUGUAUUCAUUAAAAUGAGAUAAAAAUGGUGAUACUAAUGCAUAAAAGAGAAGUCCCAAUUCGGCUAAUAUCUUCAUUUAGCAGGUAUAAAAAAUGAACAAAUAAAAAGUUAGAAUUGGACUAUAAGUUUGAUCCAGAGGAAUGUGAAAGAUUUUGGUCUCACAACCUGUGCGUUACUUGCAUCAUUAGUAGAAGGAUAAGGCAGUUAACACACAUUUAAAUGACAUAUGUAAAAUUAUAAAUUAUAAGUACCUUGAAUGCUUCUAUUGUUACUUCAGCUUGAAUAAUACUAGCGAAAACCCCUUUACUAUCGAGGUCACCAUUCUUCAUUGGCACAACAAACCUAUAAAGGAAAUAAUUUAGUAAGAAACAUUAUUAGAUGCAUUUUUUUAUUUAUCAAGAAACAGAGAAACGAGGACAUUUUAGCACAUAUCACUUCUCAUUCUCUCUGAUAAUUUUUCAACUACAACACUAAUAAAUAAUUAUAUUAGCACAAGCCCAGCUUUAGAUUUCAAUCACUACUACUUUACAGAUAGGAGACUUGUACGUUGAAUUGUAUUUUCUUGUUGGUAAACCACUACAAAGUUUGAUAGAAGACAAGAAAUUCUUGGAUCAUCCAUUCUUGUAGAAGUUUCAAUAGAAGUGGAGACAGACACAAGAUAAUCUUGAUACUUAACAUGGUACAAAUGUUAGAUAGCCUACCUAUGUCAGUGCUAUAAUUGUGGAAUUUCCAUAAAUUUCAACCAAAUAUAGUUUAUUAUACUUCUGUUGCCCUGAGGUGCUAUGAACUGCCAAAUUGACUUUGCCUGCAAAUCCAAAAAAAAUGUCAAUAAUUAGACGUUUAAUGGGAAGUGUCAAAGCAAUAUUAUCUUUUAUUAUCCAGCAAAGUGAAAUUAGUGUCUGAUGCUACUUACCAUGUCUGGUACUAGUAUUGGCUUCCCUAAGCUCAAUACUACAAAAAUAAAAAAUAACAGUUAGGCAUGAAUGAGUUCUUAAGUUUACUAUUGUAUCGAACCAGUAAGGUCAGUUGGCUGUUAGUAGAUGUCUUAUCAUAUACAAGGAAUAGCAGCACCAGAGAAACCUGGACAAUAUCCCUGUGCAACAAAAUAUUAUCUUUGACAAACAUGGUUAUAUCCCUGUAUAUAGAGCAUAUUUCUGAAAAACACGAUUAUCAUUUAGGUGGAAGCCUGAUGAUUUUUGAAAAUCAAAUACUGGCUAAAAUAGAGUACUGUAAUAGGUAGGUAAUUUCACCACAUUAAGAACAAAUUCACUUAAGACACAUAUAGAAUAAUUUUUACAUAAAGAGAGGCAAAUCGCACAAUUCCACCAAAGAGAGUUUUCAUUUUUUUUGGGAAGGGAGGGGAGUAACUCCUUCAAUCUGUUACUAAGCUUUAAUGAGACAUGAAAGCAAGUCAUAUGCUAUAAUAGAAACUAGUAUGUAGUUUCUUUGCUUAUUGAAUAUUGUAAAAAGUUAAACACAAAAUUUAAAGAAAAUAAGGCAUCAAUCUACACACUAAUACAUGGCUAUGGACAGGAAAUGAUAGAAUAGCAUAAAAACAUGGAAUGAUAAACUCAAUAAUAUUUAGAGCUUCUAAGCAAAUCUGACAGAAGCUCAAGUUUCAUAAAAGGGCUUCAAGGGUAGUAUAAGUAAGACAUAUAGAUAAUUUAAAAAUAAAUAACUAAGUCAUGUAAUGAAGGACCAUGAAACUGCCUUCACUUCCUAUUCAUUCAAAUAUCGUAAUAGUAUACGUCCAUUUUACCUACAAGUUAAAAAUAUUCUAGUUCUUCAAUAAAAAAUAGGAGCUUUUAGUUUUAUUCAAGUCAAUCAAGUUGAGUUCCAUCAAAGAACUGUGGUGUAGCUAAAUUCAUGAGUUCCGUAUCAUUUUAUCGUUUAAGUGGACAAUUCAAAUACCCUUGGCAUUCAAUAAAAAAUAUAUAAAUGUAGGUGGACCAUUUUAGACGAUGAAGCUAGUAUAACAAAAUUCUAAUAUAACGAUUUCAAGCCUUUCAUGCUAAACCUACAAAAAAUCUAUCUAUACACAGAUAUAUUAAAAGAUCUACAACUCGUUUAACCAAGUUUUCCCCAAUCCAUAACAAAGUAAUAGUAUCAGCAAUUCCCUGAAACGUCUAUUUACUCUAUAUCCAGAAGGAUAUCUAAAUACUAGAAUUUUUUCAGUUAAAUUCAAAAUGAAUAAAAGUAAAGUAUACAUGUAUAUGUAUAAUCGAGUACUAAUUUGAAAAAAAUCCUAUAUUGGUCUCAAAAGAAAUCGAUAAAACUCGAAUGCCAAAUCUUUUUUGUUGCCUUUGAGAAAUAGAAUGGCGUAACUCACACCUUAGGAGAAAUCAAGUGAGGAAAAUUAGAGUUCCUGCUUCUGAAGUGCAUCGCCAAUUGGGUGCAAUUUUUUUUCUUUUCCUUUUCUUGACGAAGAUGGUGUGCAAUCGACUAUCCUAUUUUUUGAAAAUUUGAGUGAAAAAGAAUUUUUGUGGGUUUCAAACCCUAGAGAAGGAGGAAUAGUAUAAAAUAGUGUGGAAAUUUUUAGAGGGAAUAGUAUAAGGGUAAAUUGUUUUGUGCGAAAUAUUUUUACUUUAGACCACGUUUGUACUGGGUUGCUUUAGCCUACCAAGAAUAGCGCUUGUAAAUCGUUGCUUAAUAUAUGAAUAAGCGUUCUAAAAAAUUUUAAUAUUAGGCAACACUUACAAGAUGUAGUCUUUGUACAUAAAGAGCAUGCUUUAUGAGUGCUGCCUAAAUUCUGUUGCCAAAAGCUCUUAAAAAAGGCCACCCAUACAAAAGCGUUCAUAUUGCUAUUUUUGGCAAGAUUUUUCAAGCGUGGUCUAUAAUAAGUAUUACCUUAGGCCAAUUUUGUUGUAGUGACAAGUUCUUUGUCCGGGCUCAGGACCCGCAGUAUUAUGAACGAUUGAUGAUGAUU